rnacentral:rRNA from 1 species
CCCUUAGAUGUUCUGGGCCGCACGCGCGCUACACUGAUGCAUUCAACGAGUCUAAAACCUGGUCUGAUAGGGCUGGGUAAUCUUUUGAAUGUGCAUCGUGAUUGGGAUAGAUGAUUGCAAUUCUUCAUCUUCAACGAGGAAUGCCUAGUAAACGCAAGUCAUCAGCUUGCAUUGAUUACGUCCCUGCCCUUUGCACACACCGCCCGUCGCUCCUACCGAUUGAAUGUUCCGAUGAAUACCAUGGACUGAGAGUAUGAAUGGGUUCGCCUAUUUCUGCUUCUCGGGAAGUGGAGUAAAUCUUAACAUUUAGAGGAAGGAGAAGUCGUAACA